rnacentral:rRNA from 1 species
GCUUAUGGUUGUUAAAAGCACUUUAAGCGGAGGAAGGAGGCUACUUUAGUUAAUACCUAGAGAUAGUGGACGUUACUCGCAGAAUAAGCACCGGCUAACUCUGUGCCAGCAGCCGCGGUAAUACAGAGGGUGCAAGCGUUAAUCGGAUUUACUGGGCGUAAAGCGCGCGUAGGCGGCUAAUUAAGUCAAAUGUGAAAUCCCCGAGCUUAACUUGGGAAUUGCAUUCGAUACUGGUUAGCUAGAGUGUGGGAGAGGAUGGUAGAAUUCCAGGUGUAGCGGUGAAAUGCGUAGAGAUCUGGAGGAAUACCGAUGGCGAAGGCAGCCAUCUGGCCUAACACUGACGCUGAGGUGCGAAAGCAUGGGGAGCAAACAGGAUUAGAUACCCUGGUAGUCCAUGCCGUAAACGAUGUCUACUAGCCGUUGGGGCCUUUGAGGCUUUAGUGGCGCAGCUAACGCGAUAAGUAGACCGCCUGGGGAGUACGGUCGCAAGACUAAAACUCAAAUGAAUUGACGGGGGCCCGCACAAGCGGUGGAGCAUGUGGUUUAAUUCGAUGCAACGCGAAGAACCUUACCUGGCCUUGACAUAGUAAGAACUUUCCAGAGAUGGAUUGGUGCCUUCGGGAACUUACAUACAGGUGCUGCAUGGCUGUCGUCAGCUCGUGUCGUGAGAUGUUGGGUUAAGUCCCGCAACGAGCGCAACCCUUUUCCUUAUUUGCCAGCGAGUAAUGUCGGGAACUUUAAGGAUACUGCCAGUGACAAACUGGAGGAAGGCGGGGACGACGUCAAGUCAUCAUGGCCCUUACGGCCAGGGCUACACACGUGCUACAAUGGUCGGUACAAAGGGUUGCUACCUAGCGAUAGGAUGCUAAUCUCAAAAAGCCGAUCGUAGUCCGGAUUGGAGUCUGCAACUCGACUCCAUGAAGUCGGAAUCGCUAGUAAUCGCGGAUCAGAAUGCCGCGGUGAAUACGUUCCCGGGCCUUGUACACACCGCCCGUCACACCAUGGGAGUUUGUUGCACCAGAAGUAGCUAGCCUAACUGCAAAGAGGGCGGUACCACGUGCCCAUUUUCG